UUUUAUGGUCGGGCGUUCGGGAGAGCCUUCGGGCUCGCCGUUCCUACGGACGGUAGUUCCAAUCCUGUUCGUCCGGCCACCAGA
rnacentral:antisense_RNA from 1 species